rnacentral:rRNA from 1 species
AGUCGAGGGGUAACGGGGAAGCUUGCUUCCGCCGACGACCGGCGCACGGGUGCGUAACGCGUAUACAAUCUACCUUGUACUGGGGUAUAGCCUUUAGAAAUGAAGAUUAAUCCCCCAUAGUCUCUUAGAGUGGCAUCACUUCUAGAGUAAAGGUUACGGUAUAAGAUGAGUAUGCGUUCUAUUAGUUUGUUGGUGUGGUAACGGCACACCAAGACUACGAUAGAUAGGGGCCCUGAGAGGGGGAUCCCCCACACUGGUACUGAGACACGGACCAGACUCCUACGGGAGGCAGCAGUGAGGAAUAUUGGACAAUGGAGGCAACUCUGAUCCAGCCAUGCCGCGUGCAGGAAGACUGCCCUAUGGGUUGUAAACUGCUUUUAUACAGGAAGAAACACCUCUACGUGUAGAGGCUUGACGGUACUGUAAGAAUAAGGGUCGGCUAACUCCGUGCCAGCAGCCGCGGUAAUACGGAGGAUCCAAGCGUUAUCCGGAAUCAUUGGGUUUAAAGGGUCCGUAGGUGGAUAAUUAAGUCAGAGGUGAAAUCUUGCAGCUCAACUGUAAAAUUGCCUUUGAAACUGGUUGUCUUGAGUUAUUAUGAAGUAGUUAGAAUAUGUAGUGUAGCGGUGAAAUGCAUAGAUAUUACAUAGAAUACCAAUUGCGAAGGCAGAUUACUAAUAAUCAACUGACACUGAUGGACGAAAGCGUGGGUAGCGAACAGGAUUAGAUACCCUGGUAGUCCACGCCGUAAACGAUGGUUACUAGCUGUUUGGACUUCGGUCUGGGUGGCUAAGCGAAAGUGAUAAGUAACCCACCUGGGGAGUACGUUCGCAAGAAUGAAACUCAAGGAAUUGACGGGGCCCGCACAAGCGGUGGAGCAUGUGGUUUAAUUCGAUGAUACGCGAGGAC